CCCUUCCAGAGAACCUGAACCAGGUGACCCUACCCAAGGUGGCUGUGUUUGAACCUUCGGAAGCAGAAAUCUCCCGCACCGAGAAGGCCACGCUCGUGUGCCUGGCCACAGGCUUCUACCCCGACCACGUGGAGCUGAGCUGGUGGGUGAAUGGGAAGGAAGUCCAGACUGGGGUCAGCACGGACCCUCAGCCCUACAGGGAGCAGUCAGAUGAUGAAAACCCCAGCUACUGUCUGAGCAGCCGGCUGAGGGUCUCUGCUGCCUUCUGGCACAACCCCCGCAACCACUUCCGCUGCCAAGUCCAGUUCUUCGGCCUCAAGGAGGACGAUGAGUGGAAAGAGAACCGGACCAAACCUGUCAGGCAGAACAUCAGUGCUGAGGCCUGGGGCAGAGCAGACUGUGGCCUCAGCUCAGUGUCCUAUCAGCGAGGGGUCCUGUCUGCCACCAUCCUCUAUGAGAUUCUUCUGGGGAAGGCCACCCUGUAUGCUGUACUGGUCAGCGCCCUCGUGCUGAUGGCCAUGGUAA